ACCAUGCUACAGAACUUUGUGGUAACCAAAACACUGGCUACAGCACUCUAAAAGACAAUGCUUGAUUGUCCAGAAUCCCAAUGACCUUUCCAGAAUUGGGGACGAAUUGGGAGCAAGUGCCAUAUACACUUUAGUUGAUUUGAUAAAGAUAAAAUGCUGGUCAAAACUGUAGCCUGAACUUAAUUAGAGGAUGGAAUCAUGCUACAAAUAAUUGAGAUGAUCUAAGAGUUGAAGAUGCAAAGUAGAAGAUGGUUAAGGAUAGAUUCUUUUUCUGGAGCUUUUCCAUUUGAUUAACAGUUGGCAUCAAGCAGAGACUAAAGACAGUCUUCUCAAGAUCUCACAUAGACUCCUCCUCUCCAAUGACACUGCUACUACUACUCUGGGGCCUUCAGACCCUCAUCAUCUCAUGCCUGAACUGAUCCAUCCACUGAGCUUACAUAUCAGUUUUGACUAAGAAAGAUCUAGAGAAAUUUCAUCUACAAAAUGAGGACAAUAUUGCAACUGCCUAUUUCAUAAUAUUGUGAGGAAAGUGCUUUAUAAAUUUUAAAUUGUUAAUAUGCAAGCCCAGAGAAUAAGAAGGAGAAGGAGAAGUUGCCUCUAUCAAGAAUGAGAAGUCUAAGGGGGAAGCCUAGAAAACAGUAGGGAGAAGUAGAAGUUGCCUCUAUCAACAAUCAGAAUGAAAAGUCUAAGGAAGAAUGAACCCUCACUACCACAACCCUUGAUGUGAACAGGAGCUGUCUCUCACUGGUUAUGAGGAAGCAUCCUUCCCGGAGAUGCCACCUUAAAGAUGCCGUUCUAGUGUCAAAAGAACACAGCCUUGCUCCCCACUCCAGAGCUCAAGACCCACAUAUCAGGAAGAAGCUACCUCUUAAUUCCUGUAUCCAACAAACUCGUAAAUUCCCAAUGGGGAAAAGUUCACAGAAGACCAGACCAACGAAUUUGGUCCAGACAGUUCACCACAAGGCCUUUCCCCAGACUGUGGACGCUCCCGUUACCAUAACUAUAUAUACACGUGUGUGUGUGUGUAUGUGUGUGUGUGUGUAAUUGUCUGCUUCCCAAUUUAGUUGCAAAUUAGUACCCAUCCCAAAAAAGUCUCAGCAUCCAUCUGUCGGACACUAAAUAAAAAACACUGUAGCAAAGGGGAUGAGGAGGCAUAAAAGAAAAAA